rnacentral:lncRNA from 1 species
GUGGAAAUGAAAGAAGAGAGGUGAAAUAAAUUUUUGGAUGUUGUAUUUAAACUGAUUUUGAUAUGGAAUGAGUGAUUAGGCCAAGUGCAAAAAGGUCAUAUUUACAGUUUUCGGAACAUCUCUUGACUUGUCAAUAGGGGUAUGGAUGUGUAUUGGCUAAAUUUGUAAAAGUGAUUGCUUCAAUCUUUCUGAAUAUAUAUUUGGACUAGGACUAUACAUUACACACACAAAAAAUUUGACAAAAGUGCAUGGUGCAAUUUUUUUAAUGAUACAAAACGUUAUAAAGAACUGAUAGAGGA